CCUUCUAAGGAGUUGCUUUCUGGAUUUGCUCGCUGCUCUAUGAAUCUAUUAUUUUAAGAAAUGAUGCCGGCCGCUCCUCCCCUCCGUCGUCCCUCUUCACCUGCUGGGUCCUCGCGGCUGGACGUCGUGGCCGUACUGGUGGAGCCGUCCAGCGGCGUCGCCGGCGCCGUGAUGUUGACCACUGCAGCAGCCUGAGAAGAGAGGCCGGAUGCACUGGUGAUGGUCGCCACUCUCCGGCUGCAGGCGAGGCGACAUGCUGCUGCACUCCACCUCCCCAACGAGCUGCUGCCCGUGAGGUUCAAAUCAUGUCGGGGGAGGAGGAGCCCAAGGGCGCGAGGUGUGGUUACCGGGAGACCGCCUCGUGUGGUGUUCCGGUGUUUGUGGUGCCCUCCGGUGGUGAUGUCCACCGGAGCUCCUGACGGCAACGGUGAUGCCAUGAACGGGCUGCUGCUGGUUGAACCGCUGCCACGACAAGGAGGAUCAAGCUCAUCUCCUGAAGUCAGUUGUGCCUGUAGAGCCAUGUAUAGCUGCUGCUUGUUCUUCCUAUAAAUGUCCCAAGACUACCCGGCCAACCAGGGCACCCAAAAGGGGCAAAAAGAUCUGGUUCGUUCGUUCCACCCUGUACAAGUAUAAGGAAACUUAAAUUAUAUCGAGAGGUUUAUAGGUUGGAUGCGCACUGACUUCUGAAACUCAUUAAUCUAGACACCUUGGUUCUGGAGCUUUUGUGAUGAAUGACAAAUGAGGUUUUGAUCGUUCGAUCAUGCUGGUAGUAGGCCAUUGCCCCUUCAAGCCAGCAAGAUGCUUGUUGUACGUCGAUGAAUAAGGGCGUCCAUCCAAGAUACUAAGGACUGCCCUCUUGUUUCUAUCCUUAAAAGCUGCUGCGCUACCCGGCCAACCGAGGCCUCCCAAGGGGCACAUUGAUCUGGCUCGUUCGUUUUGCCCAACGACAGUAAAUUCGUUCCCCACUUUUCAUCACAACCGCUCAAUACGUUAAAAAAAAAAAUUAACCCGCUACUGCUCAUUUUGAGCCCCUGUAUGAUGGGCCCGUGGGCGUGCGGGGCAGCCAGCCAGAGACAGCGACACCAGCGACACCAGCUCGCUCACGUCGCCUUCCUUUCUGUGUGCGCGUGGGGGCAGGAGGUGGUGAAAACCUAGAUCGGCGCGGAGGGUGGCGGCAGCGCACCGCCUUGCGCCGCCUCUCCCCGAGAUGGAGCCAUUCGGGGAUGGCCAUGGUGGUAAGCUGGAGGAGGCGAUACGGGAGGAGGAGGGUGCGGACCUUUUUCCCCAACGCAUGCAGUGGCGCCCGAGCAACGGGGGCGUUGACGCCGGCGGCUGGACGCGGCAGCGUUGGGGACGGACGAUGCAUCAACGCGGAGCAGCAGCAUGCUCUGGAUGCGAGCUCGUCCGUUUCCUGUGACGCCAUGCAGCUGCUGGCCAAGCAGGGCAAUUUGUGAGAUGACUGAAUGCUCCUGGAAGAAAACGAGGACAAUAGCAUCACUCCCACAUGUGAACUCCAUGCUCAUCGCUUGUUAAUUUCCUCGAGAAAAUGAUGAGAUGCAUGUUGUUCAACUUGUGUAGAUUUCUCUGAAAAUAUAUGGAGAAGUUAAAUAUGACGAGGAUUCUGAUCAGAUAUGUGAGGGCUUUGGUUGCA